rnacentral:rRNA from 1 species
UACAGAGGUGGCAAGCGUUGUUCGGAAUUACUGGGCGUAAAGGGCGCGUAGGCGGCCUUCUAAGUCAGACGUGAAAUCCCCCGGCUUAACCUGGGAACUGCGUCUGAUACUGGGAGGCUUGAGUAUGGGAGAGGGAUGUAGAAUUCCAGGUGUAGCGGUGAAAUGCGUAGAGAUGGGGGAGAACACUCGUGGCGAAGGCGGCUCACUGGCCCGGUACUGACGCUGAGGCGCGAAAGCGUGGGGAGCAAACAGG